rnacentral:rRNA from 1 species
AACGCGAAGAACCUUACCUACCCUUGACAUCCUGCGAAUCUGGUCUAGCAGCCGGAGUGCCGAAAGGAACGCAGAGACAGGUGCUGCAUGGCUGUCGUCAGCUCGUGUUGUGAGAUGUUGGGUUAAGUCCCGUAACGAGCGCAACCCUUGUCCUUAGUUACCAGCAUUUAGUUGGGGACUCUAAGGAGACUGCCGGUGAGGAACCGGAGGAAGGCGGGGACGACGUCAAGUCAUCAUGGCCUUUAUGGGUAGGGCCACACACGUGCUACAAUGGGGCGUACAGAGGGUCGCCAACCCGCGAGGGGGAGCCAAUCUCUUAAAGCGUCUCGUAGUCCGGAUUGGAGUCUGCAACUCGACUCCAUGAAGUUGGAAUCGCUAGUAAUCGCGAAUCAGCAUUGUCGCGGUGAAUACGUUCCCGGGCCUUGUACACACCGAGACGAC